AGCGGACUGUUGCAAAUACAAACGACACCUGAGCUUGGGUAUGUUGAUGAUGAUGUUGUCAUAUGCUCUCCCAGAAGUUUUGUUGAGGCUAGGGAGAAUGCUAGAAGGAACCGUGGGGUGGUAGAGGUGAUUGAUGCAGAAAGGGAUUUUCGAAGAGGCCAUUCAGAAUCAGCAGUGGUAUUAUUUCCUGGUGGCAACAACCGGCGCAAAGGAGGUUCAACAAAACGUGCAAAUGUCAAUGGUGACCUUUGCAUAAACUUAGAAAGCAAUGAGAAUGCCUAGAGUAACAAUGUUUGUGAAGCUCUAGAAGUAUACCAGAGUGUUCCCCCGCCAAAGGCACCUAGCUUUAGUUGCCCAGUUUGCAUGGGCCCAUUUGUUGAAGAAACAUCUACCAAGUGCGGUCACAUUUUCUGUAAAAAGUGCAUAUGCGGAGCAAUAGCUGCUCAAAGCAAAUGCCCAACCUGCAGGCGGAAACUUAAAGUGAAAGACGCCAUCAGGAUUUAUCUUCCCACAAGUGACUGAAGGAGGCUCGUGGCCUGUGGUGUUAGAUAAUGCGGUUAGGAUUACUCAUAAGAUGCUAUUGGUAGAAGAAAGCUAACAUUGUUGCUUCACCAUUGGGAAAGAUCAACGGUGGAGCAUAGAAGUAACUACAGUUUCGAUCCUUCGGUCGGGAUCACUCAUCCUUUUUUUUGGGCUAGAGAGUUCUUAUAGAUGUUGUCUCAGCGCAAACUAUCUUCUUCUUUUCCCUUCAAUUGGUCCACAGUCCA